rnacentral:rRNA from 1 species
AGUGGCGCACGGGUGCGUAACGCGUGGGAAUCUGCCCYUSGGUUCGGAAUAACAGUUGGAAACGACUGCUAAUACCGGAUGAUGACGWAAGUCCAAAGAUUUAUCGCCCAGGGAUGAGCCCGCGUAGGAUUAGGUAGUUGGUGUGGUAAARGCGCACCAAGSCGACGAUCCUUAGCUGGUCUGAGAGGAUGAUCAGCCACACUGGGACUGAGACACGGCCCAGACUCCUACGGGAGGCAGCAGUGGGGAAUAUUGGACAAUGGGCGAAAGCCUGAUCCAGCAAUGCCGCGUGAGUGAUGAAGGCCUUAGGGUUGUAAAGCUCUUUUACCCG